ACCAUCUCGCAAAUCGUCGGAAGGAUCUCCCUCAAACACCCAAGCGUAUUUGGGAGGAGCGAGAAGUUGGACGUGAUUCUGGAUAAGGGUGUCAAUGACUCUAAUGUUGUUGUUGCCUUUAGACGCCCAAGGCCCGAAUGGUUAUCGCAGCAAUCGUUUGUCAUUCAGUACAGUGGUAGUAUAUUAAGG